CUUCUCUCUCUCUUUCUCUCUCUCCCUAACACUCAUCUUAAACCAAAUUCUCCCCUUGUUUUGGCAGAAUUCUGGUUUUUGCUUCAUGGGCCUGUUACCAAGCUGAUUCUGUGUGCCUUUGUGUGUGAAUCAUUGAUGCCUCUAUGAUUUCGAUUGUUUUUUUUAUGUAUCUUGGAAUGAAUAGAAACAUAACGAACCUUGUUUGUAUUCAAGUUGAUUUAGUUUCUGGUAUUUUCAUGCAAUGUGUUUGUUUUUUCAUCUGGGCGAAAGUAAUAACCAGGGAGAGAGUCAUGUUUCAUGACUCAUACACUUCUGUGAAUCUCAUGGUUCUUGUUCUCUGCUCUCUGCCAAUCUGUCAUUCUGUUUCUUUCCUCUGUUUUCAUGGACUCGCUGCUAAGUGUGGUGGAUUUUCCAUGUCCGUGUUUUUGUUUCUGAUGUGGGUCUUCAAAAUUUUGGGCUUUGAUAACCAGGAUUGUAUGCAGACCCCAUUUUGUUGGCUCAUGGAAUUCUGUGGAUCCCAUUCUCCUUGUUAUCCUUUUUUUUCCUCCCUGCCGUUGUGUCAUUUUGUUGUUAUCUUGUUUGAUGAGUAUUAUACUUAAAGAUGCUCAUGCGUUUUAAUUUCACCGACGAUUUAAGUGUUGUACUGCAGUAGAAUUAUGUUUUACUCUAAAGAUUUGGCCUUUGUGACGAUUUAUGUACUCUUAAUACCCAAAUUCGGAAGAUUUAAAGGUUUUAUGUGGUUUAUAGUUGUAUUUAAGACUUAAUUUUCCUUUUAAUGAAAUGCAGGACAUACAAUUGUUCUAAGAACAGCCGGAGCUGAUACAAUUUGGUGGCUGGAGGUUGGGUUCUAGAGUGAGCGUAUGCCUGGAAACCAGUACAACGGUAACUCAACCCCUUACCCAAGUCGUACGCAACGGCUCUUGAGAGAAAGAGAGCUAAAGAGAAGCAGCAGGGCUUCCCAUUCAAAUGAGGUGACUGAUAAUAAUGGGGGGAUUGAACCAUGUGAACAUGGUUUGCGUUUGAGAGCAGGUGACAACUCAAACAAUUCGUAUAUUGAGCAAUACCUUGAAGGGGCUAUUGCAGCUACAAGGACACUUGCUGAGGGAUGUGAAAAGGAGGAUGGAAGGCCUUUAAGGCAGCGGCUGCUGGUGGUGGCUAACAGACUGCCUGUCUCUGCAGUUAGGAGGGGCGAAGACUCAUGGUCUUUGGAGAUAAGUGCUGGAGGCCUAGUUAGUGCUCUUCUAGGCGUGAAGGAGUUUGAGGCAAGAUGGAUUGGUUGGGCUGGUGUUAAUGUCCCGGAUGAGAUUGGCCAGAAGGCACUUACUAGAGCUUUGGCUGAAAAGAGGUGCAUACCAGUAUUCCUUGAUGAAGAGAUUGUUCAUCAAUAUUAUAAUGGCUACUGCAACAACAUGUUAUGGCCUCUUUUUCAUUAUCUUGGACUUCCACAAGAAGAUCGGCUUGCCACAACUAGAAGUUUUCAGUCUCAAUUUGCUGCAUAUAAGAAGGCUAAUCAAAUGUUUGCUGAUGUAGUGAAUAAGCACUAUGAAGAGGGUGAUGUUGUUUGGUGCCAUGAUUACCAUCUAAUGUUUCUUCCAAAAUGCUUGAAAGAAUACUCCAGUAAUAUGAAAGUUGGUUGGUUUCUCCACACACCCUUUCCUUCUUCUGAAAUCCAUAGGACACUGCCAUCUCGAUCAGAGCUACUGCGCUCAGUUCUUGCUGCUGAUUUAGUCGGAUUUCACACCUAUGACUAUGCAAGGCAUUUUGUUAGUGCUUGUACUCGUAUUCUUGGACUAGAGGGUACACCUGAAGGAGUCGAGGAUCAGGGGAGGCUGACUCGAGUUGCUGCUUUCCCUAUUGGGAUAGACUCUGAUCGUUUCAUAAGAGCACUAGAGGUCCCUCAAGUCCAGGAUCAUAUCAAGGAAUUAGAAGAGAGAUUUUCUGGCCGAAAGGUAAUGUUAGGUGUUGAUCGACUUGAUAUGAUUAAAGGAAUUCCACAGAAGAUACUUGCAUUUGAAAAAUUUCUUGAGGAAAACUCUCUUUGGCGUGAUAAAGUUGUUCUGCUGCAAAUUGCGGUGCCAACACGAACUGAUGUUCCUGAGUAUCAAAAACUUACAAGCCAAGUUCAUGAAAUUGUUGGGCGCAUUAAUGGUAGAUUUGGAACGUUGACUGCUGUUCCAAUACAUCAUUUGGAUCGCUCUCUCGACUUCCCCGCUUUAUGUGCAUUGUAUGCUGUUACUGAUGUUGCACUUGUAACUUCUUUGAGGGAUGGAAUGAAUCUUGUCAGUUAUGAAUUUGUGGCAUGCCAAGAUUCAAAGAAAGGCGUUCUCAUUCUUAGUGAGUUUGCAGGAGCAGCACAGUCUCUGGGUGCUGGAGCGAUCCUUGUGAACCCUUGGAAUAUCACCGAAGUUGCUGAUUCGAUACGCCAAGCUUUGACUAUGUCAUGUGAGGAGAGGGAGAAGCGACAUCGGCAUAAUUUUACACAUGUGACAACCCACACUGCUCAAGAAUGGGCUGAAACUUUUGUGAGUGAACUAAAUGAUACAGUUAUUGAGGCUCAGCUAAGGACAAGGCAAGUUCCACCUAUUCUUCCAGAAGAAGAUGCAAUUAAACGUUAUCUGCAGUCUAAUAAUCGGUUGCUCUUACUGGGAUUCAAUGCAACAUUGACUGAACCAGUAGACACUGCACGGAGAAGAGUUGAUCAAAUUAAAGAAAUGGAACUUAAGUUGCACCCAGAGUUGAAAGAAAUAUUGGUAGCACUAUGCAGUGAUCCAAAGACAACCAUUGUUGUUCUAAGUGGGAGUGACAGAAAUGUCUUAGAUGAGAACUUCGGUGAGUUUGACAUGUGGUUGGCAGCAGAACAUGGAAUGUUUUUACGCCUUACCAAGGGAGAAUGGAUGACAACAAUGCCAGAACACUCAAACAUGGAAUGGGUUGACAGUGUGAAGCAUGUUUUUGAGUACUUCACAGAACGGACACCCAGAUCACAUUUUGAACUUCGUGAAACAUCACUUGUGUGGAAUUACAAGUAUGCAGAUGUUGAAUUUGGAAGACUUCAAGCUAGGGAUAUGUUGCAGCAUCUCUGGACAGGCCCAAUUUCUAAUGCAUCUGUUGAUGUCGUCCAAGGUAGCCGAUCAGUUGAGGUUAGAGCAGUUGGUGUUACAAAGGGUGCUGCUAUUGAUAGAAUACUGGGAGAGAUUGUUCACAGUAAAUCCAUGACAUCACCAAUUGAUUAUGUCCUGUGUAUUGGGCAUUUUCUGGCAAAGGAUGAAGAUGUGUACACCUUCUUUGAGCCAGUGCUACCUUCUGAUGGCGUAGGUAUUGCAAGAACCAAGCAAACUGAUGGCUUAAAGUCACCAGGGGAAAGGCGUCCUUCUUUGAAGCUUCCAGCUAGUAGAAGUGGUUCAAAAUCAUCUCAAGGUAAGACACAACGACCUUCCUCAAAUCCUGACAAGAAACUUACCAACCAUAGCAGUGGGGGUGGUCGGCGGCAGUCACCGGAAAAGAUUUCAUGGAAUGUUCUUGAUCUCAAGGGAGAUAAUUAUUUCUCCUGUGCUGUUGGGCGAACCCGAACAAAUGCUCGCUAUCAACUACAAUCAUCUGAUGAUGUCGUAUCUUUUCUAAAGAAACUAGCCAAUGCAUCUUCUUGAGACAAAUAUUGCCAGUUACAAGAUUCUCAUCUCCCGUUUGCAGUGAUGCAUCCUCUCAUUCAGAAACCGAAAGUUUCGAGAACCAGGCUUUGGAUUUUGAAAGCAUACCAGGCAACAGAGAGAGUGCUUUUAGAUGUGAAUGGUGUAGCAUCACUAAUUAUUCUAUGCCUACCAAAACAGGAACCUUGGUUUCACUUAAUUGAAAGCAUAAAAUUGAGAGAUUAGAAUAGAACAGGAUCAAACCACAGUAAAGUUCUUUGGUGAAAGAUCCAUAGUCUAAUGCUAGUUACUUAAAUUAUGUUAACAUGGGGAUUUCUGCUUAUAUUCUCUUAGCAAAAUGUUUUUAUAUCUGUGCCCUUGGGCCAUUAGAAGGUGUUUCAGAAGUCACCAGGCACCAGCCCCUAUGUCUAUAAGAUGCACCAGAGUACGCAUUUCUACUUUGGAGGCUAAGCAAUAUCUAUAUGUUGAAUUUUCU
rnacentral:misc_RNA from 1 species